GUUGCAGAUGUUUUAUUUUUAUUUCAGCACUGAAGCAUUUAAGUAUCUCAAUUACAAAAGCUAUGAUGGUGUAAGUGAUGGUGUAGCUCUGUAACACCAUAGAGAGGCGAUAGGCCUACCAAUACAAUCCUAUCACGUGACAUGUAUAAUGGUUGCUGUUUAGUAAUGUGAUGUGGGAUACAAUACAUCUUCCAUCAAUCAAAUGACCAGAUGGAAGCGAUAUCGUUACAUUAUACAUAAAGGUAUUUCCCCGAUAGGACCCCUGGUGCUGUAAUGACGUCACUAUUUAGCUCAGGUCGACGAGCGGCCCUGAUGACGCGUCCAAGAUGGCCGACAGGCCCCUGAGCUGUAACUUCCGCUGCCCGACUGUUCGUGACGAUGGAGACCCGAUGGAAGAAAGGAGACUGACUGGGGGCGCCCUCCAUCCAUCACAUGGGAUCAUGCUGCUGUGCGGGGAUGACGUGUUUAUGUGCUUAAAAGAUCUAAACUGAAUCAUGCAACACAUGAACAGUGAACUCUAGUCUGCACCUGAAGAAAGGCUCUUUACUUGAAAAUGUUGGAAGAGCAGCUGGAGAACAACAAGGUUCAAGACAAGCGGACGGAGGACGAAAUGAACAAAGCUGCUGAAUGAGCAGAGACACUUGAAGGUCCUGGAGGAGACGAGGAGGAUGGAGGAACAUUUGGGCGCAGUUUCCAGACCUGAGGACGGCAGGUUUCUUCUUCUGCUCUGCGGUUACUCUGAGAAGUAACUUUGACAGUUUGGGGGUGGUUCAACUUUUGUAAAAUGUUUGCUGUGCAGCUGAAUUUUAAUAAAGAAUAAUUUGGUAUAA